AAGCAGAAUCUACACCUUCCCGGCCAGCGGUAGCAACUGCCUAACUGCAGGAGACAAUCUUUCUAGACAAGGCAGUUGAGGAGGAGGGAGCGCUUGAGGGAGACUGACCUGGCGUGCACUCCGCACCUCAGGGACGUUGCGCGUGGAACGGCUGCUUUUGGAAGACUGUUGCCCAGAAGAAGAGAUGUUUGGUUUUCACAAGCCAAAGAUGUACACCGAAGUAUAGAGGGCUGCUGUAUUUGCAGAGCUAAGUCCUCCAGUUCUCGAUUCACUGACAGUAAACGCUAUGAAAAGGACUUCCAGAGCUGUUUUGGAUUGCAUGAGACUCGUUCAGGAGACAUCUGCAAUGCCUGUGUCCUGCUUGUGAAAAGAUGGAAGAAGUUGCCAGCAGGAUCAAAAAAAAAACUGGAAUCAUGUGGUAGAUGCAAGGGCUGGACCCAGUCUAAAGACUACAUUGAAACCAAAGAAAGUGAAAACUUUAUCUGGGAACAGGAUAAAAAGCAACCAUAUCAGUAAACUGCAGAAGGAAUUUAAACGUCAUAAUUCUGAUGCUCACAGUACCACCUCAAGUGCCUCCCCAGCUCAAUCUCCUUGUUACAGUAACCAGUCAGAUGACGGCUCAGACACAGAGAUGGCUUCUGGUUCUAACAGAACACCAGUUUUUUCCUUUUUAGAUCUCACAUACUGGAAAAGACAGAAGAUUUGUUGUGGGAUCAUCUAUAAAGGCCGUUGUGGCGAAGUCCUCAUUGAUACACAUCUCUUCAAGCCUUGCUGUAGCAAUAAGAAAGCAGCUGCUGAGAAGCCAGAGGAGCAAGGGCCAGAGCCUCUGCCCAUGUCCACUCAGGAGUGGUGACUGAGGUUUUUAUGCAGAAGGGGAACAGAAAACCAUCUAAAUUUUGAAAAGAACACAAAGCAACAAACUGACCCUUUUUUUCCCCCCACCCCCGAGACAGAGAUUUGUUCUUGUUGCCCAGGCUGGAGUGCAGUGGCAUGAUCUUGGCUCACUGCAACCUCCGCCUCCUGGGUUCAAGUGAUUCUCCUGCCUCAGCCUCCCGAGUAGCUGGGUUUACAGGUGCCCGCCACCACACCCAGCUGAUUUUCAUAUUUUUAGUAGAGAUGGGGUUUCACCACAUUGGCCAGGCUGGUUGGUCUUGAAUGACCUUCUUAUUUUUAAUUUGGAUACCUGCCAUUCUGCCAAAAGACAACUUCUAGAGUAGUUUUGAAUGGGUUGAUUUUCCUCAGUUUCACAAACUCUGAAGCCAGUGUCUAGCUUACUAAAAAAAGAGUUGUACAUAAUAUUUAAGAUGCUGAGUAUUUCAUAGGAAAGCUGAAUGCUGCUGUAAAGUGCUCUUUAAGUCUUUUUUUUUUUUUUAAAUCCCCUUCUAAUGAAUGAAACUAGGGGAAUUUCAGGGGACAGAGAUGGGAUUUGUUGUAUGAUAAACUGUGUAGUUUUUAGUCUUUCUGUAUUGAGAAGCAGUGGUUGGGGCAUUUUUUAAAAGAUGGCUGGCUACACUUGUUUUCCCUCAUGAUAAUAAAUUUGUCAUAACUC